rnacentral:rRNA from 1 species
AUUGAACGCUGGCGGCCGGCCUAACACAUGCAAGUCGAGCGAGCGGCGGACGGGUGAGUAAUGUAUGGGGAUCUGCCCGAUAGAGGGGGAUAACUACUGGAAACGGUGGCUAAUAACGCAUACUAUUGGAUGAACCCCACUGGGAUUAGCUAGUAUGUGGGGUAAAGGCUCACCUGGGCGACGAUCGCUUGCUGUUCUGAGAGGAUGAUCAGCCACACUGGGACUGAGACACGGCCCAGACUCCUUCGGGAGGCAGCAGUGGGGAAGAUGUCACAAUGGGCGCAAGCCGUAUGCAGCCAUGCCGCGUGUAUGAAGAAGGCCUUAGGGUUGUAAAGUACUUUCAGCGGGGAGGCGUUACCCGCAGAAGAAGCACCGGCUAACUCCGUGCCAGCAGCCGCGGUAAUAC